UGGUAAACAGGUAGUGCAAGUUUUGUAAAUUUCUCUCAUUUUGAUUUUGAUUUUGAUUUUUAGUCAUUUUUGUUUCAUUUGGCUUUUGCCUUUGACUUUUCCACGAUUACCAACAACAGCCAAACAAACGAACAAAGCUUCUAGCUGGUCUACUUGGAUUUUCACUCAAAAUGAUAUGCUAAUCCCGGCAAGCAGCGAUGGGAAGGAUUAUCCGCUUCCCAAAGGUAUCCUGAGGUCAGCUACCCGCUUAAGAAACAAUUUGCACCCAACUGAGCAGAUUAAAUAAGUGCGCCAUGAUCUCUUUGGUGGUCUCGGAUUAAACCGCACCCAGCCAGGUUGGUGAAGUUGCUCAGACUGUGACCGGGCAGCAGCCAUGGAUGGGUGGAUGCGGGGGCCAUAAAUACAUAACCCACGUUUUACGAUCGCUUAGCAGGAAAAGUCAAAGGCUUAAAGGAUCUGCGGUAAUCCGCAAGCAAGGUUGUGCAUCUCUAGCCGUCACCCCUCUUCGAUGACUAUCAGCAGAGGCAGCAGCUACCAUGACAACAGCAUCCCAGGUGACACUGAUUACGUUAGCCCAGCUAAGAAGUAGAAUGGAAGAAUGGAAACGCCAUAUUACAAUAACGUCUUAAUUUGUCGUGGUCUCUUGCUUUUGCGGUUAUGGGCAAAGGACACAAGUGCGCAACGAUGCAACAGAAACCGCGAACAAGUGAUUAGAAAACAGUUGGUCUAGAGCUCUUGCG
rnacentral:sRNA from 1 species